GCAAGGACUAAAUGAAUUUUAGAUAUGACCCUAAAAUUAAAAACAGAAGUAGAAUUUCAUUUUACAGACCAGUAGAAUCUUUACGUGGUGUUCUAGAUCUAGUAGAUGAUUUCUAGGGCUCGGGAAUCCGAAGCAUUUCUUGUUGAUUUCAGGAGGGGGCACACAGGGAUACGAACCUGAAAACAAUCACAGUUUUAAAGCCGAAGUCUAUUUUGAACUUCCAGAGGCCAUAUUCUUCUCAUCUUCUUUCCAUUGCUUUUGGAUAUGUAAGAUCUCUCUAAUGGGUCCCUUGAAGAAUAAUAAUUGAUGAGAAGGCAACUUUGUUUAAAAUGACUUUUGAUUCACUGGACCUUCUUCGGCUACUACUACUGACCUAAAAAUACCAGGGGGUCGUUUGGCAUCAUCCUAGAAUCUCCUUUACUUGUUAUGGAACAUAUUAAAGCGUGAAAGGAGCUUCAAGUACAUCAAGAUGGUUAAAGAGAAAGCAGACCAGCUGAAUGCAUGGCAUGGCACUGAGACGAACUUUUAUGCAGAGUAGGUCCUGUGGAUUGCUUUCAUUUCAUAUCAGAAGAAAGCACAGUGCCAUUAAACUAUGUGGACCUUUUUUUUUCUUGUCAUGCCCUAAAAUUCAUUGUGUGCUCAAGAGAAAAGCUUCAACAAUUAUUUGUAUUUGCUUUUGUAUUAUUGUACCACUGUGCUUCCAUAGGAUGCCAGAUCAUUCUGAGUAUGUGAUUCAUGUAAUCUACUGCAAUGUGAUGUGUAAUCUUGUUUAUGUUAUAAAAUUCAACUUCACAUCCCUUCAUUUGAAAUCAAUCUAUUCAAACGGAGCGUUAGUGUCUA